UACGUAGGGGGCAAGCGUUGUUCGGAAUUACUGGGCGUAAAGGGCGCGUAGGCGGCACGGCAAGUCAGGCGUGAAAGCCCUGGGCUCAACCCGGGAACUGCUUUUGAAACUGCCGAGCUAGAGUGCGGAAGGGGCAACUGGAAUUCCCAGUGUAGCGGUGAAAUGCGUAGAUAUUGGGAAGAACACCUGAGGCGAAGGCGGGUUGCUGGGCCGACACUGACGCUGAUGCGCGAAAGCCAGGGGAGCGAACGGG
rnacentral:rRNA from 1 species